AUUGAACGCUGGCGGCAUGCCUUACACAUGCAAGUCGAACGGCAGCACGGGUGCUUGCACCUGGUGGCGAGUGGCGAACGGGUGAGUAAUACAUCGGAACAUGUCCUGUAGCGGGGGAUAGCCCGGCGAAAGCCGGAUUAAUACCGCAUACGAUCUACGGAUGAAAGCGGGGGACCUUCGGGCCUCGCGCUAUAGGGUUGGCCGAUGGCUGAUUAGCUAGUUGGUGGGGUAAAGGCCUACCAAGGCGACGAUCAGUAGCUGGUCUGAGAGGGCGACCAGCCACACUGGGACUGAGACACGGCCCAGACUCCGACGGGAGGCAGCAGUGGGGAAUUUUGGACAAAGGGCGAAAGCCUGAUCCAGCAAUGCAGCGUGUGUGAAGAAGGCCUUCGGGUGGUAAAGCACUUUUGUCCGGAAAGAAAUCCUUGGCCCUAAUACGGUCGGGGGAGGACGGUACCGGAAGAACAAGCACCGGCUAACUACGU
rnacentral:rRNA from 1 species